rnacentral:misc_RNA from 1 species
GAUGAAGAACGCAGCGAAAUGCGAUAAGUAAUGUGAAUUGCAGAAUUCAGUGAAUCAUCGAAUCUUUGAACGCACAUUGCGCCCCCUGGUAUUCCGGGGGGCAUGCCUGUUCGAGCGUCAUUUCACCACUCAAGCCUCGCUUGGUAUUGGGCAACGCGGUCCGCCGCGUGCCUCAAAUCGACCGGCUGGGUCUUCUGUCCCCUAAGCGUUGUGGAAACUAUUCGCUAAAGGGUGUUCGGGAGGCUACGCCGUAAAACAACCCCAUUUCUAAGGUUGACCUCGGAUCAGGCAGGGAUACCCGCUGAACUUAAGCAUAUCAAUAAGCGGAGGA